rnacentral:rRNA from 1 species
AACGAACGCUGGCGGCAGGCCUAACACAUGCCAGUCGAGCGAGGACUUCGGUUCUAGCGGCGGACGGGUGAGUAACGCGUGGGAAUGUGCCCUUCUCUACGGAAUAGCCCCGGGAAACUGGGAGUAAUACCGUAUACGCCCUAUUGGGGAAAGAUUUAUCGGAGAAGGAUCAGCCCGCGUUGGAUUAGGUAGUUGGUGGGGUAAUGGCCUACCAAGCCGACGAUCCAUAGCUGGUUUGAGAGGAUGAUCAGCCACACUGGGACUGAGACACGGCCCAGACUCCUACGGGAGGCAGCAGUGGGGAAUCUUAGACAAUGGGGGCAACCCUGAUCGAGCCAUGCCGCGUGAGUGAUGAAGGCCUUAGGGUUGUAAAGCUCUUUCAGCUGGGAAGAUAAUGACGGUACCAGCAGAAGAAGCCCCGGCUAACUCCGUG